rnacentral:rRNA from 1 species
AACGAAUGCUGGCGGCAUGCCUAACACAUGCAAGUCGAACGAGACCUUCGGGUCUAGUGGCGCACGGGUGCGUAACGCGUGGGAACCUGCCCUUAGGUUCGGAAUAACUCCCCGAAAGGGGUGCUAAUACCGGAUAAUGUCUUCGGACCAAAGAUUUAUCGCCUUUGGAUGGGCCCGCGUUGGAUUAGCUAGUUGGUAGGGUAAAAGCCUACCAAGGCGACGAUCCAUAGCUGGUCUGAGAGGAUGAUCGGCCACACUGGGACUGAGACACGGCCCAGACUCCUACGGGAGGCAGCAGUGGGGAAUAUUGGACAAUGGGCGAAAGCCUGAUCCAGCAAUGCCGCGUGAGUGAUGAAGGCCUUAGGGUUGUAAAGCUCUUUUACCCGGGAUGAUAAUGACAGUACCGGGAGAAUAAGCUCCGGCUAACUCCGUG